rnacentral:rRNA from 1 species
GAUGUCUACUAGUUGUCGGGUUUUAAUUAACUUGGUAACGCAGCUAACGCGUGAAGUAGACCGCCUGGGGAGUACGGUCGCAAGAUUAAAACUCAAAGGAAUUGACGGGGACCCGCACAAGCGGUGGAUGAUGUGGAUUAAUUCGAUGCAACGCGAAAAACCUUACCUACCCUUGACAUGUACGGAAGACCGAAGAGAUUUGGCUGUGCUCGAAAGAGAACCGUAACACAGGUGCUGCAUGGCUGUCGUCAGCUCGUGUCGUGAGAUGUUGGGUUAAGUCCCGCAACGAGCGCAACCCUUGUCAUUAGUUGCUACGAAAGGGCACUCUAAUGAGACUGCCGGUGACAAACCGGAGGAAGGUGGGGAUGACGUCAAGUCCUCAUGGCCCUUAUGGGUAGGGCUUCACACGUCAUACAAUGGUACAUACAGAGCGCCGCCAACCCGCGAGGGGGAGCUAAUCGCAGAAAGUGUAUCGUAGUCCGGAUUGUAGUCUGCAACUCGACUACAUGAAGUUGGAAUCGCUAGUAAUCGCGGAUCAGCAUGUCGCGGUGAAUACGUUCCCGGGUCUUGUACACACCGCCCGUCACACCAUGGGAGCGGGUUUUACCAGAAGUAGGUAGGCUUAACCGUAAGGAGGGCGCUUACCACGGUAGGAUUCGUGACUGGGGUGAAGUCGUAACAAGGUAAGCCGUAUCGGAAGGUGGC